GAUGAAGAACGUAGCGAAAUGCGAUAAGUAAUGUGAAUUGCAGAAUUCAGUGAAUCAUCGAAUCUUUGAACGCACAUUGCGCCGCCAGUAUUCUGGCGGGCAUGCCUGUUCGAGCGUCAUUUCAACCAUCAAGCCCCCGGCUUGUGUUGGGGACCUGCGGCUGCCGCAGGCCCUGAAAAGCAGUGGCGGGCUCGCUGUCACACCGAGCGUAGUAGCAUACAUCUCGCUCUGGGCGUGCUGCGGGUUCCGGCCGUUAAACCACCUUCAUAACCCAAGGUUGACCUCGGAUCAGGUAGGAAGACCCGCUGAACUUAAGCAUAUCAAUAAGCGGAGGA
rnacentral:misc_RNA from 1 species